ACAUUCAAAGGAUGAUCGGUGCCUUCACACAACCGUGGACGAGGGUACUGGGCACACAGAAGAAGGAGUGUGUGUAAUGAGGUCAGGUCUCCCAGCGUCCUUUCCUUCUGCUCUCCUUGGGGGAGACACAGGGUUCGAGGAAAGUAGCACCGAUGUGGUGCACGUGGCCUGGAUUGGCCAAUCAGAGCUCUCCAUCCCCCUGGGCACGGUGAUUGGCUCCUGAGUGCCAUGCUCUCUAAGCUGGACCAAUCAGAGUGAAGGUCAAGCCUUCGGCUGGGAAAGCGAGCACAAGCUCUCCUUUUUGUUGGAUGUGACGGUAGAGGUCCCGGGAGCUGCUGAAAGCUAUUUUGUACCCAUGAGGCCAGUCACCCUCGGGAGGGGUUUGACUGCAGAAGGUGAAUGAAGAGACCAAAAUAAACUAGUUCCUGAAUCACCGGAAUGUUCCUUACCUAACACCAUUUUUAUUCCUGAUCUGAUCAGUCGCAUGAGAAGGGGGAGGCGAUCUGAUUCCUUCCUUACCUCCAGACCUCUCCCUGCUGAGUGUGCUUGUCAGAAAUCGCCUUCCUCGUGCUGCCUCAUUCCAUUCGCUCGUGAACAUCCACUGGCGACAAAAUCCAAGGAGGAAAAUGCGUGCCAAGAAAGAUACAGUGUUUUGAGAACUGAGGGAGAGGGGAUGAAUAAACGAACAACGGAUGAGUGUGGAGGAGUUGACAAGGAGGUCGAAAGAGCGAGAGGAGACUGACAGGAUACACUCCGUGAGCCCGACGGACCCCCCUCCCAGAGCGCGCACCCGAUUUCCCAGUGUCAUCAGAGAGCGGCCUACAGCGUCAUAGGGUUUGCUUUUGGCACGAGAGAAAGGUCUGGAAGAAUCUCGGAGGUCCUCGGGGCC
rnacentral:lncRNA from 1 species